rnacentral:piRNA from 1 species
UUCCAUUUCAUAAUGAUAACG